AGUGAGCGAGCGAGCGGCUGCGCCGAUCUUUGUUCUUGUUGAGACAAAGCCCCUGGACUUGGGUCCCCGGUUCGUGCAGUCGGAUUAUUCGCUCUCCAGCAUCUUGGGUCACUACACCAGAGUUCUAUAAAAAGUUGCCUGUGAAAUUAAAACAACAACAACAACAACACAUGGAAUCCACUGCAUAGGUUCAAAAAAUAAGAGGAGCUGGUUUGUAACGGAAUGCUGUCUUCAUGCGCGCUCAGCCAUCGAGGCACAGAAUAAGCUGCGUCCGCAGCAGAUUUCUACGAUUAAAACGGUGGAUUGAGUGUUCAGGCCAGCAGGCAGUCCUUGUUUCAUGCAAUGGAGUGGACACAGUCCCCUGAUUUGCAGCUUUGAUCAGUCUACCCCAUGGGACUACCAGUAUUGGCCAGAAUCCUAUGUGACAGGUAUUGGCUUCAUCGGCUGUGACUCUAUGAAAACACGGUCCCAGGUGGGGUUAUGGCUGGCACUUGACCGCCCUUCCUUAUGAGAUCCCUGCUCAGAAGAUGUCCUGUAUUGUCCAAACCCAAGCACUACCCUUGUGCCUACAGCUUUUGUAAUAGCACAUUGAAGACAAAUUUGGCAUGGUGUCUCUUGUGUCCCCCAUCCCCACCCCCAAGGACUGUUUCAGUUCCAGCCCCAGUCCAAAUGCGCGGAAUCGCCCAAAAGAGGCAGUUCCAAAGUCAGCCUGCCCCAGACAUCACGCUCAACUUCACUGGUCAACUUUAAGUAAAGGGGGGGUGUGCAUCUCAAACUGUUAAGGACAGACUUCAGUUAAGCAAGGAAAAAAAAAGGAACUGAAAUGGUUCCCUUCUCUCCCUUUGCUUCCUCUCAACACCAUAUUCUUCCUCUUUCUGGUUCUGGUCACACCACUUGCUCUGAAUUUUAAAAGCAUACAAAAAUCCUGACCAGCAAAAUGUGGGGAGAUCACUCGCUAUAGCUCUCCUCUUCCCAGUUUCAUUAUUUCUUUUCUUGUCUGCUCAAGGCCUCUUCCAUCCAUUGGUCACCGCCUCAUUCCUGAAGCUUGUCAUACACCCCGUCUCCAGCCCGGUCGUAGGCCUGUCUCCCCGCUCCAUAAGUCUCAUUCACCUCAUCCCACUCACCCUACAUUAGAAAAAUCUAUCGGCUGGAUCCUCCUGUAUGCAGCUGUCACGAGGAGCGGGGAGUAAAAGAGUGUCCUGAAUUCUUGGAAAAUGACAGAAAAAUGAAACAGGAAAGAGGGGAAUUGUAAAAGGGGUGACUUGCCUGUCCUGUCUGCUCUGGGUCCUGGUGAUGGUUCUCUCCAGUUGAUUAAUGUAUGAAAGUUGCUUCAGGAGUUUCACUUGUGUGGUCGGCCUGCCUUGUACUCGGUGGCCUACCUGCUAUCUGCUACCGCUUCUUCCUACCAGAACUCCAGUUUUGUUCAGGGUCCAUCCCUCCCCCAGGCCAGUGUGCCUCAGGGUAAACUGACAUAUCCCCAAACUCUAGCCUGAAUGAUCUGAGGGUAACCCCAUUGCUUUUGCAACCAACCAGGUUGGUUUACUUCUUGGUUCAGGAAUGAGCUCAUGAGGCAAUUCUCGCCAAGGGGACAAGAAGGAAAGGAGCCAGAGGAGGAGUGAUUCUGGAAGGUUUCUCUCUUUUAAUACAGAACUAUACGGAGAGAUGUGGGUCGUUGUGGUUUCUUCCUUUGGGUGUUGUUUGUCUGCAUCUUAUGCUAGUUAUCUUACUAGCAGCCUGGGUCACCCUAAGCUGACCUUCCCCAUUUGAUGGGAUAAUAUUUCUAAUUUGAAGCCAAAAGCAGUCUAUAAGAGAGGGUCCUGUUUUGUGUUCUCUAUUGCUUGUUAUGCAAAACAAAUAAACCCCUGCUUGUUUAACCCUCAGUACACCAGUCAUCACCAACAGACUUUAUUUUUUCAUAUUUUUCAGCCAUUUGCAAAUCAUUUAUAAGGAGCAAGAAUAAAGGAUAGUGAAACAAUUUUAAAAUGAAUUUUAGGGACGCCUGGGUGGCUCAGCGGUUUGGGUGUCUGCUUUCGGCUCAGGGCGUGAUCCUGGGUCUGGGGAUCAAGUCCCACACCAGGCUCCCUGCACAGAGCCUGCUUCUCCCUCUGCCUAUGUCUCUGCCUCUGUUUGUCUCUCAUGAAUAAAUAAGUAGAAUCUUUUAAAAAUAAAUAUAUAAAUAAAUAAACUUUAAUAAUAAUUUAAACUUAGCAAAAUCAAAUUUUUAUCCUAUAUUUUUCUGCAAUUAGAGAAAUAUUACCCUGAGCGGGCCAUAUCCUUUAUUUUUUUAAAGUAAUUCCUGUGCGCGAUAUGGGGCUCAACUCUGAGAUCAAGAGUCAGACGCACGCUGUACUGACUGAGCCAGCCAGGUACCCCAGGCCGUAUCUGUUAAAUAUUACUAUGGGCAGCCCGGGUGGCUCAGCGGUUUAGCGCCGCCUUCGACCCAGGGCCUGAUCCUGGAGAUCCGGGAUCGAGUCCCAUGUUGGGCUCCCUGCAUGGAACCUGCUUCUCCCUCUGCCUGUGUCUGUGCUUCUCUCUCUCUGUCUCUCAUGAAUAAAUAAAUAAAAUCUUUAAAAAAUAUAUUGCUAUUAAUCAGUCAAUGUAUAUGUACCAGGAACAAAGUCAUCUCAUAAAUAUUGACUCUAAAUUAAAAAUACGUCUCUAACAUGCUAGCUUAUUCUUAUUUUUGCUACUUCUUGCACUUGAAUCAACAAAAGUACUUUUGAAAAUGUGGGUGGCCUUCAGUCUUGUUGAAAAGAAGAUAGCCAUCUUUGGGAUGCUUGCCUGGCUCAGCCGUUGAGCCUCUGCCUUCCUUUGGCUGGCUCGGGGUGUGACCCUGGGGUCCUGGGAUGGGGUCCUGGGAUGGAGUCCCACAUUGGGCUUCCCGCAGGAAGCCUGCUUCUCCCUCUGCCAGUGUGAGAGGCAGACGCUUCUCUCUGUGUGUCUCAUGAGUAAAUUAAUUUAAUUAAAAAAACGAAGAUAGCCAUCUUCUUUACUUCUUAGCUGUAAAGCAUUUUCAUGUUUAGAUUUAUAAACAACAAUUAGAACUAGCAAAUCAAACACAUUGGACUUCUUAAAUGUAUACAAUGUAUGUCAAUUGUAUCUCAGUAAAACUGGAAGAAAAAAGAAUUAGCAAUUCAAUGAAUUUUUCCUCUCUACAUCAUGAUUUCCUUCCAGUUAUAUUUGCAUAUACAUUCCCUUUAGCAUUUGUUGACUCGCAAACAUAUCAAGUGUAUAUGAUACAAAACAUCAAAAAAGAUGACAAAAUAUAUCAAAUCUUUUUUGGAUGGCUCAGGUUCUUGUUCCAAAAUAUUGAAUAAUGAAAUCAUUCCUGUUGAAUUGAUAAGAAUACCAUAAAUCUGCUUAAUAAAUAUAUAUUGUUGAAUUAACAAUUCUGGAGUUUGAGAAAAUUUAGGAUACCAUUAUCUAAAGACUCGUCAUUUGAGGUGUAGUGAUUACUUUUAAAAAAACCAACAACAACAAAUAAAAUCUUUAAAAAAUAAAGACUCAUCAUCUGAUAUUCCACUUGUAUGAUACAUUUUACCAUCAUCAUUAAAGCCUAGUGUCUUUUUACGUUUAUUUUAUAACUUUUCUAAUACUUUUGAAGUGUUUUCUUCCAUCAGUUUUCUUUGCCAUU
rnacentral:lncRNA from 1 species